AUUGAACGCUGGCGGCAGGCCUAACACAUGCAAGUCGAACGAGUGGCGGACGGGUGAGUAAUUUCUGGGAAACUGCCCGAUGGAGGGGGCUAACUACUGGAAACGGUAGCUAAUACCGCAUACCAUCGGAUGUGCCCAGAUGGGAUUAGCUAGUAGGUGGGGUAACGGCUCACCUAGGCGACGAUCCCUAGCUGGUCUGAGAGGAUGACCAGCCACACUGGAACUGAGACACGGUCCAGACUCCUACGGGAGGCAGCAGUGGGGAAUAUUGGACAAUGGGCGCAAGCCUGAUGCAGCCAGGCCGCGUGUGUGAAGAAGGCCUUCGGGUUGUAAAGUACUUUCAGCGGGGAGGCGUUACUCGCAGAAGAAGCACCGGCUAACUCCGUGCCAGCAGCCGCGGUAAUAC
rnacentral:rRNA from 1 species